rfam:Patagioenas fasciata monilis isolate BTP2013 Sc31e1R_24, whole genome shotgun sequence.
ACACAGGUUUUCCUCAUAACCACCUCACAUUUUUAUAGAAGCAACGU